rnacentral:tRNA from 1 species
GUUGUUGUGGUGUAGUGGUUAUCACGUCAGUGUUACACACUGAAGGUCCCCAGCUAGAUCCUGGGCAACAAUA